rnacentral:rRNA from 1 species
UACGGAGGGGGCUAGCGUUGUCCGAAGUUACUGGGCGUAAAGCGCGCGUAGGCGGGUUGGUAAGUCCGCUGUGAAAGCCCGGAGCUUAACUCCGGAGGGUCGGUGGAUACUGCCAGUCUUGAAGGUGCUAGGGGGAGAUGGAAUUACCGGUGUAGCGGUGAAAUGCGUAGAUAUCGGUAGGAACACCAGUGGCGAAGGCGGCCUUCUGGACGGUGACUGACGCUGAGACGCGAAAGCGUGGGGAGCAAACAGG